rnacentral:rRNA from 1 species
UGCCUUGUAGCGGGGGAUAACUAUUGGAAACGAUAGCUGAUACCGCAUAACAAUGGAUGACACAUGUCAUUUAUUUGAAAGGGGCAAUUGCUCCACUACAAGAUGGACCUGCGUUGUAUUAGCUAGUAGGUGAGGUAACGGCUCACCUAGGCGACGAUACAUAGCCGACCUGAGAGGGUGAUCGGCCACACUGGGACUGAGACACGGCCCAG